ensembl:snRNA U6 U6 spliceosomal RNA
GUGGUCACUUCAGGAGCACAUAUACUAAAAUUGGAAUGAUACAGCAAAAGUCAUUAGCAUGGCGCCUGUGUAAGGAUGAUUUGCAAAUUUACGAAGUGUUCCAUAUUUUU